GGUUGGCUUAGAAGCAGCCACCCUUGAAAGAGUGCGUAAUAGCUCACUGGUCGAGUGAUCCUGCGCGGACAAUGUAACGGGGCUCAAGUCCUGAGCCGAAGCUAUGGGUUUCUACAUUUAUGUAGGAGCGGUAGAGGAGCGUCGAUGCUGCAGCGAAGCGGAUCCGUGAGGGUGCGUGGAGCGGUAUCGAGUGAGAAUGCAGGCAUGAGUAGCGAGAGAGGGGUGAGAAACCCCUCCGCCGAAAGCCCAAGGGUUCCUGGGGAAGGCUAAUCCCCCCAGGGUGAGUCGGGAGCUAACACGAGGCCGAGAGGCGUAGUGGAUGCACAACUGGUUGAUAUUCCAGUACCACCAUGACCGCGCCAGGUCCAAUAGUGGCAACGUUGGGGCUGUUCAGAUUUAUCUGAGCGAGCCGACCGAGCUGCUGGCGGAUAGCUGACGGGGGACGCAGGAGGAUAGAUGAACCCGGGUGAUGGUUAUCCCGGGGUAAGCGUGUAGGGAGACCCUUAUGAGAGUUCGGGUCAUUCAUCCUGAGACGCGAUGCCGAGCGACAUACUGCGAAGUCAUCGAUUCCAUGCUGCCAAGAAAAGCCCAGCAGUGAGCUGUCAUGGUGCACCGACACAGGUGGGCGGGUAGAGAAUACUAAGGCGAGCGGGAGAACUAUGGUUAAGGAACUCGGCAAAUUACCUCCGUAACUUCGGAAGAAGGAGGACCUGCUUUGGUGACGAGAUUUACUCUCUAAGCUGAGGUGGGUGGCACAGACCAGGGGGUAGCGACUGUUUACCAAAAACACAGCAGGGUGCGAAGCCGUAAGGCGAUGUAUACCCUGUGACGCCUGCCCAAUGCUUGAAGGUCACGGGGAACGGUUAGUUCUUUAUUGAGCGAAGCUGUGAACCUAAGCCCAAGUGACCGUAACUAUAACGGUCCUAAGGUAGCGAAAUUCCUUGUCGGGUAAGUUCCGACCUGCACGAAUGGCGUAACGACUUCCCCGCUGUCUCAAAUGUGGACUCAGCGAAAUUGAAUUUCCUGUCAAGAUGCAGGAUACCCGCGGUUAGACGGAAAGACCCCAUGCACCUUUACUAUAGCUUCGCAUUGGCAUCAGGCACAGUAUGUGCAGGAUAGGUGGUAGACUUCGAAGCGGUGACGCCAGUCAUCGUGGAGUCUCCCUUGAGAUACCACCCUUAUUCUGCUUGAUGUCUAACCGCGGCCCGUUAUCCGGGUCCGGGACCCUGCGUGGUGGGUAGUUUGACUGGGGCGGUCGCCUCCCAAAUUGUAACGGAGGCGCGCGAAGGUUGGCUCAGAGCGGUCGGAAAUCGCUCGUUGAGUGCAAUGGCAGAAGCCAGCCUGACUGCGAGA
rnacentral:rRNA from 1 species